CACAAAGCCAAAGACUCAUAUGGA
rnacentral:siRNA from 1 species